AGUGAAAUUUAAUUUGCGAAAAAUGCUUGCACUUACGAAAUUCCGUUUGGCUUUAAAGCGGCUUUAAUGUUAUGCAAAACGCAUUUGAGCUGCGGACACGAACCACGACGAGACCAUCCAUGUCAAUGACAACACACAUUGUGGGUGCCUGCCACUGCACCAGUGCCUUUGUGGCAACAAUUACAACCACAAGAAGUAAAGCGGAAUUCGGCCAGAGCCACCUCAAGCUCUUCCCAUCUCAGACUGUUGCAAGCGGCGUCGCCGUCGCCAUCGCCAUCGCCAAUUCCUAUGCAUAUUUAAUUUUACGAGUACUAGUACAAGCACGAGUAUACGAGUAUAGUAUGCUUUUGCUUCCCAUGUUUGCUUUAUGGAAAUUUGAGAUUUUGCCCAAACUGGAACUGCAACUGGAAAAUUGUAAAUUCAAAAUUCAAAAUGGAAAAUGGAAAAUGGAAAAUGGCCCAUGAAAACACACACGCGCAUUUCUGUUCCAGAGUCUCGUCGUGGAUACUUUUUGGACUUUGAGUAUGCCAAUACAUAUUUUAUGCAAAUUACGCAAAGUACAGAUACUGGCAGAGAGGAAUGUGACAGAGAGUCGGGCAGAGAGCAAGCCGGAGAAUUCUUCUUCUGGGGACAAAGUUCAAUUGUUUCAAAUUGGAGCGCAAAAGAAAACAAAAACAAAAAAUUUGCCUGCGGGCAAGAAGUAUCGUAAAUGAAAGAAGAAUUGCAGACUGAGGAUUGGAAAUUACAGCAUUCUUUGAGCAACAAUAGAAUCAAGCAUCAUGUGAUUUGUGUAAUCGAAUUGUAUCAUAACCAUACUCGUAAUACUGAUGUGUACCUUCGAUAUGGCGUGUUAAGAAGAACUCCGGAAUAACUUUUCAUCGCUUACUAUAGACUAUAGAUCGAUACACUAUCCAAGUUUAAAGUUAAUAUCUACCUAAGCUCUGUGGAUCCGAGUGUGACCCAGUCGAAAUCUUGAGAGUACAAAUUUUUAUUCCGUGCCAAAAUACUCGAAUGCCUUGCAGUCUGAAGACUCGUUAACGAGCAGACAAACAGAUUCUGGCAUGCUUGGUGGAAACCGAGCUAUUUUUGAACUCAGACAGACCAGAAACCAAACACUGGGGGGAGAACCACAAAAGUUCACUUCAAAAUGGAAGCCCCAUAAGUGACAGCUCCGUGGAGUUUGGGCGGCGGAGAGAGUCUUUGAAAUGACAGCAAUGUUAUAGUUAUUCUUCUGUGAGAUUAACAUUCCGUCAGCACUCGCAGAAGCUAUCAUAUGUGUGACAUUGGCUGCAAGAUGAUAUGUGACAUGUGUAUGCUGUCCAAAAUUGAACAUCAAUUUCACGACAAUUUCACACGUAUUUAGAAGCUGUCAGAUGUGUCAGAGUCGCGUCAUUUGUCUCAUUAAGGCAUUAUUUCCGCCUGCCGCAGCAGCCACACAAACUCUCACUUGACACUGUUCUCCAGUGAAUGGGAGAGAGGGGGCCACGCCACGCCAUGCCACACCACGCCACGCGACGCGAGUGGAGGCAUCGUUUGGCAAAUGCCAUUCAACAUUCAACAUUCAAUCGCUCGCGAAUGACAUCAUGGGGCGGCGGGGAUCAUUGUGCAUAUGAGGCGCCGGAUCGCGUUCAAUGACGCUGUCUCCAUUAAUCACAAUCGUUCUACUAGACAAGGAGACAACGAGGGAGACCUGGAGACGCUCUCAUACUAUCAUCAAUUGCAAUCCACCCACACAGAGGCACUCGACAGAAGAGUCUAGGAAUGAUAUACGACCAAGACUUUCAAUUUUACAUAACAUGUUGUAUUAUUUGUUUCCCGAUGUCGGCGACUGAGUGAUGUGGAGGCGAAGAAGUCAAUCAGUUGGCCAGACGAGUGCUGACAAUCGAUUAGAUUGCGGACCAAUUACACGCAGAGAUUAUGAUUCAGGGAAGCAUCUUCCGCUACAUCAAACUCCUGGUGCUUGACCUCCCUGAAACCUAGGUCCUCUUAGGAUUUUUCACAAUCCUAGAGGAUCAAAGGAUCGUAGUUUUUUAAUCAUACAAUAGGAUCGCCUAAAAGAUGUAUCUGAAGAAGUAGGAUUCUGUGUAGUAUUCUUCCUAGCCGCAACCACUCUGGAGGCAGCAUUAAACCUACAAGAUAGUUUACAUUCGACAACAACACAAUUUUUGGGGCACACUUUUGGGGCUUGAUUGUAAAAUGUAUGUAUAAGUCGUGUAGAAUAUGAUAAGAUAUUAUUAAAACUAGCACCGUUUGUAUGGUUAGCACAUUUUUAUUUAAAAAAAAGGAGUCCGACAGACCCCUGGAGUGGCCCCGCCAAAGGGGUCCAAUGGGCGCCAGACGAUGCAAUUUGUCAAAUUUUGAGUCGAAUGCGAUAAAUUAGAUCGGAUGUAGAUUUUUGCACAUUUUUAUUUUUAGGGCACUUUUGAAGGUCCAAAACUCAACCAAAUAAAUCCAUAAAUACAUUAACAUUUCGGA